AUCUAAAUGAAUAGUCCUGAAUAGGACGAAAUGCAUAUCUUAGAU
rnacentral:hammerhead_ribozyme from 1 species